AUACUAAUUUUGUUUUGUCAUUAUUCGGCGUAAUUUGCUUCUCAUAUAAAUAUAGAGUUAUAUUAUUUAUU
rnacentral:tRNA from 1 species